AUGGCUAGAGAGGCUUGUGUCUCAGAGGCCUUCGAUGUGAUUAGAUGGGGCAUGGGAGGGAAAUCUUCUUUUACUACUAAAUCAGUUUACUCUUUCCUGGAAAGGAACAUUGCUGGAUGCGAUUAUAGAUGGAUCUAGAAUGCCAGAAUACCUCUUAAGAUCCAAAUAUUUUUGUGGCAGCUGUUUUAAGACGCUGUCCUAACGAGAGAUGUGAUGAAGCAUCGAGGGUGGAAGGGAAAUCCUAAAUGUUCUUUUUGUGGUGGGCGAGAGACUGCUCAACACUUAUUCUUUACAUGCCCUGUUGCCAGGGUGACCCGGAGGACGGUGGCAUGCAUGUUUGGUACUGCACUGUGUCCCGAUAACAUUUGGCAAGCUUACGCAUGGUGCUAUACGUUCUUCCCUAGUGGGGAAAUUUUUGUUGGAAAUAUGCCCCAGAGGCAAUAA
rnacentral:rRNA from 1 species